ACGGGGCGCAGCAGGCGCGAAACCUCUGCAAUAGGCGAAAGCUUGACAGGGUUACUCUGAGUGAUUUCCGUUAAGGAGAUCUUUUGGCACCUCUAAAAAUGGUGCAGAAUAAGGGGUGGGCAAGCCUGGUGUCAGCCGCCGCGGUAAUACCAGCACCCCGAGUGGUCGGGACGAUUAUUGGGCCUAAAGCAUCCGUAGCCGGUUCUACAAGUCUUCCGUUAAAUCCACCUGCUUAACAGAUGGGCUGCGGAGGAUACUAUGGAGCUAGGAGGCGGGAGAGGCAAGCGGUACCUAGUGGGUAGGGGUAAAAUCCGUCGAUCCAUUGAAGACCACCAGUGGCGAAGGCGGCUUGCCAGAACGCACUCGACGGUGAGGGAUGAAAGCUGGGGGAGCAAACCGGAUUAGAUACCCGGGUAGUCCCAGCUGUAAACGAUGCCGACUCGGUGAUGAAUAGGCUUCGUGCCUCUUCAGUGCCGCAGGGAAGCCGUUAAGUCUGCCGCCUGGGGAGUACGGUCGCAAGACUGAAACUCAAAGGAAUUGACGGA
rnacentral:rRNA from 1 species